rnacentral:rRNA from 1 species
GGAGGGCAAGUCUGGUGCCAGCAGCCGCGGUAAUUCCAGCUCCAAUAGCGUAUAUUAAAGUUGUUGUGGUUAAAAAGCUCGUAGUUGAACCUUGGGCCUGGCUGGCCGGUCCGCCUCACCGCGUGUACUGGUCCGGCCGGGCCUUUCCCUCUGUGGAACCCCAUGCCCUUCACUGGGUGUGGCGGGGAAACAGGACUUUUACUUUGAAAAAAUUAGAGUGCUCCAGGCAGGCCUAUGCUCGAAUACAUUAGCAUGGAAUAAUAGAAUAGGACGUGUGGUUCUAUUUUGUUGGUUUCUAGGACCGCCGUAAUGAUUAAUAGGGACAGUCGGGGGCAUCAGUAUUCAAUUGUCAGAGGUGAAAUUCUUGGAUUUAUUGAAGACUAACUACUGCGAAAGCAUUUGCCAAGGAUGUUUUCAUUAAUCAGGAACGAAAGUUAGGGGAUCGAAGACGAUCAGAUACCGUCGUAGUCUUAACCAUAAACUAUGCCGACUAGGGAUCGGACGAUGUUAUUUUUUGACUCGUUCGGCACCUUACGGGAAAC